rnacentral:lncRNA from 1 species
UACGAGCGAGCGGCAUUAUGUCAUGUCACGGUUGAGUUAGGCAAUCGGCCUAUAUCGGAUCGGUAACUUAUGAACCGAAUUGGGAUGAGUGGUUUAGCCGUAUACCCUGAAAGGGUUGUACACUGGAGUACAUCGAAGGUAUUCAAGUGAAUUAUGUCUAGGGACCGUGAAAGCAAAAGCUUGGUCCUAUGGAUAAAUCAGUCAGAAUUGCUGAGAUAAGCAUCGAUGACGAGUUGAGAUUGGAAAUGCGAACAAAGUGUUCGUAGAAACUGAUUUGGAAAAAAACUCAGUAUAGUAUGGAAUGAAAUUGAGAAAUCUUGAAAUGGUGUUGGAAUUUACCUCCCUCCGUUAAACAAUGAAGAGUAAUAUGUAUCUAAGUUUCGCGGACGAAACUUUUGUUAACGAGGGGAGAAUGUAACAUAUGAGAAUCUGGGAGUUGCGAUGUCAACUUUGACCUAGAAGGUCAAAGUGAGGAGUGAGCUAGUUGGACAUCAUCCUAGAGUGAAUUGUGAUGCGUUGGAAUGAAUUUCGGAGAUAAACAAGUGUUUCGGCGCAAAUUGGGCGCGAACGAAAAAUAAAGAGAAUUUCGGAUUCCCGACGCUAACUUUGAUUAAAAGAAUUAAAGUAAAGCGCAAGGAUAAAUUGUGGCAUCUCCGAAUUAAUUGUGAAGCUUUGGAAAAGCUCAGGGCGUGUUUUCAAAGGGUUUGGAAGUAUUCAGUGCGAAGUGGUAAUGCAAAAAGGGAGAAAGUGCAUUGGAGCUGACUUUAUUGCUAAUUCGG